rnacentral:rRNA from 1 species
GAUGAACGCUGACAGAAUGCUUAACACAUGCAAGUCAACCUGAAUUUGGGUUUUUAACUUAGGUUCGGGUGGCGGACGGGUGAGUAACGCGUAAAGAACUUGCCCCACAGCUAGGGACAACAUUUGGAAACGAAUGCUAAUACCCAAUAUUAUGAUAAUAGGGCAUCCUAUAAUUAUGAAAGCUAUAAGCGCUGUGAGAGAGCUUUGCGUCCUAUUAGCUAGUUGGUGAGGUAACGGCUCACCAAGGCGAUGAUGGGUAGCCGGCCUGAGAGGGUGAUCGGCAACAAGGGGACUGAGACACGGCCCUUACUCCUACGGGAGGAAGCGGUGGGAAAUAUGGGACAAUGGACCGAGAGUCUGAUCCAGCAAUUCUGUGUGGACGAAGGAGUUUUUCGGAAUGUAAAGUGCUUUCCGUUGAGAAGGAGCAAGUGACGGUACCAACAGAAGAAGUAACGGCUAAAUACGUG